rnacentral:tRNA from 1 species
GUCUUAGUAGUAUAAAAAUUACACUGGUCUUGUAAACCAGAAAUGAGAUAUCACCCCUCCUAAGACA